CUCUCCGUUCUCCUAGGACAAACACGAUGGGGCUAUCGAAAUCGUCGACACCAUCAGGUGAGUCUUUUCGUCUCUCUCUUAUCUAAUUUUUAAUACGCGCGCACACUUUUAAUUAGCCCUGGGCUAGGAUGCACAGUUCGCGCCCCACUGCUCCAGCUCCAGAAACACACUUGUCUGGAUCGAUUCUAAUGUUAGUUUGGAAGCCAUGGUCAGCUGGUUCAAGAUGGAUAUUUAAUCCACUUGGCUCUUCUCGCUUUGUAAUUAAAAAAAAUCCCGAUAAGCGGAAAAAAACAUUCGGGCGCUUCACGUUAUUUAUAUACAAUGUUCUGCUAAAAAAAAUUGGGUUUUAAUUUAUAAAUUCAUAUGAUGGAGAGAUCGUUCUAAAUGCCAUUGAUUAAUCUAUAUUUAAAUAGAAAGUUUUUGAUUUUCAUGUGCAACUUCCCCUUCCUGUCUUUUGCUAUUGUUUGAUAUUUGUUACGUCAAAGAUGGCGGUGCAGUGACGUCAUAUGACGUAACGACGGAACAUCAAGUUUACUUUGCGUGAUUUGGUUUGAAAAACUCUUUCUUCUGAAUGGAUUUGCAUCUUGUAUAUAUUUUUUAUUUUAUUUUGUUAAAUACAAAGUUUGAUUUUUUUUCUCAUUUCCGAAGAUUAAGAUAUUAAGCAGCCUGUUCGGUCAACGAUCUAUUAAAAAAAUGUGUAGGAAAUUGGUUCGAUUUUAAUGAAAAUUAAAAUGUCAGUAGGAGAAGCUGAAGAUGAUGACAUUUGCCAAGUUUUGUUGCACCGCUGCUGGCUGUACAUUAGCCACUGCCAUUCCCCCUAUACUUAAAAAUGGCCGGAUUUUGAUGAAAGUGGAAGCAUGGUUAAGGAUAGAAAAACAGUUUUCUUUGCCAAUUUUCACUAAAGUGUCGACAUCGAUAAUAUGUGUUAAAGGUCAUUUUUGUUUGGCGCUUUUUUUAAACCAAUAUCUCCUUUUUUAGAAUUUUAUUCAAGCAUUUAAGAUUUUUAAAGUUGGAGUGCCAAUCACGUAUAUCGAUUUUUUCGUUUGAUCUCAUAGAAAAUUAAAUUGGAAAAUCCGGAUUACACAAAUACCCGAAGAAUUUUAAAAACGAAGGGGAAAAAAAUUGUAUAGGUUAAUGGAACAAGUCAUGUCAAGGACUGGGAAUUUGUGGGAUUUUCCGACAUUUUAUAGGAAAGGAUGCAUAUUUUUUAUUUUUGUCAGCUGUUUCCGUAAACGUUUGUUUGGGUUUUUGCCCGAUACGUUAUUUAUAUAUUUACUUACCCAUUAGACCGCUUCUAUAUAUAAGCAAGUGUUUAUUUACUGGCGAAAAAAAUCAGGGACGUUCUUUACGAAGAUUCACCUGGUCGUUUCAGUUUUCACUUCCAGCUAAUCACUUGCUUACAUAUUUUAACAAAAGAGGACUCUUGGUAGAGGUUUUAAAUUUUUAACGAAGGAUGUUUUUGAGGCAUCGUUCGCGAAUCACCAAUCACCGUUGACAUUGGAGAAUUGUGAAUGAAGGACUUUCCCCUUCCAAGGUCUCUGAAAGAAUCCUGCAUGCCCUACCAUAUAGAAGCUAUAAACCUGCUUUGUUAAAGAAUAUUUUGUAACUCCUUUCGCUUCUUCAAAUCAUCAUUUUGGUCUUAUAACAAUAUUCCAAACGUGAAUUUUGAUAUACAUCUAUGCAUUUUUGAAACGGAUCUGAGGAAUAAAAUAAGAAUGGGGCCAAGGUUCAUACUUAACGUAACUUUUUUCUACUAUAUUUUUUUAAAGACUGUAACUAAAUUUAAUUUAAUCUCAAUUAAUCAUCCUUUCGACUCGUGCCGUCGGAAAAAAAAAAAUAAAAAAUUUCCGUGUUAAAUUAUGUAAGACGGAUGCUUUUUGCGGAUGUUAUAAGUCGGAAAAAAAACUGUUUCGAAAAAGCGUUAAAAUUCGCUUAUUAAAAUUAAACGAUUGUUUAACUACUCUCGUAUAUAUUAUUAUUAAUAUAAUUGUUAUUUAACAGUUUGGAAACAGUGAGGGUGGUCAACUGCCGUCAUCUAAACAACUCAUAAAUGUUCUUAGCGGAAGAGUAAAUAUCGUUUAUACUAAAUAUAAUCAUGCAGGAAGUGCUGUCGAUCACGUGUAGAAUUUGUCUUCGCUUACAUCUCUGGCGCCAGUACGCAUCAACGACUCAACACAAAUCAAUACCAAAUACCAUACACUGUACUAAACGCAAAGUGGAUAUUUAAAACCGAGUUUUGAUUAUAAAUUUCUCUUUGACUGUCGGUUGAACCGAAUGAUUCGGUUGGCGGGAAAAAAAAUAACUUGGCUUGUUCUUUCUUUACUGUUACAUGACAUGAGUCAGCAUAUUCGUUUUAUUUCGAGCGAUGCAACGAUUCUGAGUAAGUAAUCUCCAAAUGACGUCCGGAAUAUUCAUCUCGUCGGGUUCGAUAGCUAAUGACGUCAUAGUAGUAGAGAAAGGUCUGACGUCUGCGAUGACGUUGCGCAGGUUUCCAGCUGAUUCCACCACCGGUGGCAAUAAAUGUCGGAGUUUAAAUGCGUAAAUGUGUGUUUUGCUUGCUUCUAUAAAUAAACCAUUUAUUAUUUCGAUAAUGCGACUUUUCGAAUUUUUAUGGUACGUAAGUGAUGUCGAACGGUGAUGACGCCAUUCGGGAAUUCCGGUUAUUUUUAAUUUUUUCUUUAUUCUUAUUCGAAAGUUAAAAAAAUCUGAACAUUAUGUUCCGAUCCGAAUCGAAAUCUAGAAUGCGGAUCAUGCGAUUAAAUGGCGGAUAUUGUAAUUAAACGGUUGGCAUUCGACUUUUCGCUUCUGUACGCAUCGCUAAUUCGUAUAAUGUGAUGUCACGUGUACAGGCCACUGACGGGAAGAAUUUUUGAAUAUAUUCUUCAGCCAGCAGUUAUUAAAAGACCACAAAUCAUGUUCUUCCCGGUCGAUUCCGGGUUCGAAUUCACAAAAUUUUAUGAACUAAAUUUUGACGAACAAACGCUUAUCAGAUCAUUAAUGCAUAAUAAAGAAAAUAUUACGUCAAGAUUAUAGAUUAAUGUAUUCGAAAUCCAUUUUGAAGGCUUUCUAUGUACCGUAAUAUGUCAGUUUGUCGUAAUAUUGGAAAUCGAUGGCUGCCAAGUUUCAUACACCCUUUACCAUAUACUCAACAGUUUUCAGUUUCCGGAAGAUUAAACUAACAAUAUUUAAUUUUUCUCCCGCUUUUAUUGAAUUUUAAAUAUACCAUAUAAACUGUAUAUAUUUUACAGUUACCAUUUUCAGUUUUAAAACGCAAAAAAUAAUAAUUUACUCCGAGAGAAUUUUUUAAUUUCUCCUAUCUCUUCCUGGUGUCAUUGAACAUUGGAUGAGUCCCAUCCGUAGAAUUAUUUAUUGUUAAACUACCACACCCCUUCGGAAGAUUAAUCAAUAAUGUUCGAAAAACGACGUCACGAAAGUCUACGCGAAAGUUUUUUUUCUAUUACGAGUUUUUUUUAUAGCGGUUGGCUUUAUAACAGGGUUAUAUUGUACAAUCUUUAAAAGUAGUGUAUCGAAGGUCAUUUGACUGCGCGGAAGUGCUGCUGAUAAGGUUGACUGUAUAUACAAUAAAUCACGUGUGAGAGUCUAUAGAUGAUGAUUUUGAAUUAAAAAAAAUAUAUUAUGGAAAACUCUUAUGGAAACUAGAAUGGUGUUUAAUUUUCGAAUAAUAUAUUUUAUUAUUUAAGCGUGAAUUUUGUUUUAAUUAGCAUACAGGAAACAUUUAACACAUACUUCCAGGUGGAUUUGAUUAAAUAUAUCAAUGUACGUUAUGCUGUUCAAGAAUUGAAGUCUGUUUUAUAUUUGCAGUUAAGCUACUAAUCAUAAACUGGUUCAUGGCAAUAAACGUGUACAGAUGUGUUGUUAGUAAUGUGCAAGCUGAAUUGGAUUAUUGAUAAUUAUCAAAUUGACUGAAACGCUAAAUAAAAAAUGCGACGAUAUUUCGGUCAGGCUGGUGAAUGUUUUAAAUGUAACAGCGCUGUCUAAAAUAAUCCUUGACGAUGUUCUGCGACUUUGGCGUAUGUACACAGACCCCUCCUGCCAAACGCUGACUCUACACCGACUGGAGGAAUGGACCGUCUCACGUUGCCUAGGGUGACGCAUCCUUGCUCACAUGGAUACUGUAGUCUUUGCACUUAAACGAUUGAGAUUCUGUCUAGAAUAAUGUAAUAAUUCUACAAAACUCCAAACGAUUAAAAUUAAUCCGUCGUAAUUUAUAUAGAAAAAACGUUUUAAACGAUUUUACGAUCGAACGACACCAACAAUUCGUUACCUAUAUAAGGAGUACUCGCCGUAAUAGAAAGGCAGAUGUCCCAAAAUAAUUAUAUAACUAAAAUUAGUUCCUUUUUAUAUUUAUUGUCUAAUUUAAAUUUCCAACGCCGUACAACAUCUGCCGAAUGAAUACUCUAAAUCCUCCUAUCUUCCUACGAGGAAAGAAAGAAAAAAAAAUUCUUACAGAGAGAACAGCCGCUAUCUUUCUAUAAGAAUUUUUACUACGUCGUUUUUAUCGGGAUAAUCAACAAAUAAAUGAUUUGAUUAAAUAUAGUUUCGUUUUCGCGAUUUUUCAGCUUUUUAUUUGAUCACAUAAUCGAAAGAUUUAAUGUUAGGUGAAAAUAUGUAUGUCUGUUUAACCGAAAAAUCAGUUU
rnacentral:lncRNA from 1 species